rnacentral:rRNA from 1 species
GUGCCAGCAGCGCGGUAAUACCGGCAGCCCAAGUGAUGGCCGCUGUUAUUGGGCCUAAAGCGUCCGUAGCUGGCCGCACAAGUCCGUCGGGAAAUCCAGUAGCUCAACUACUGGGCGUCCGGCGGAAACUACAAGGCUUGGGACCGGAAGGCUCGAAGGGUACGUGCGGGGUAGGAGUGAAAUCCCAUAAUCCCGCACGGACCACCGAUGGCGAAAGCACUUCGAGAAAACGGAUCCGACAGUGAGGGACGAAAGCCAGGGUCUCCAACCGGAUUAGAAACCCGAGUAGUCC